rnacentral:tRNA from 1 species
AUAUUUAUAGUAUAAAAAGUACAAAUAAUUUCCAAUUAUAGAGUUUUAAUUUUUAAAUAAAUAUA